AUGAGGGCGAUCUGGUUGUGACACCUGUCACCCCACUGAUCGCCAGGGUGGAUUCUGCUGAUCUGGCUGGCUAGGCGGGUGUCCCCUUCUUCCCUCACAUGCCACGUGCUUCCCUCCUGAGGUUAUGCACUUGGUUGAAGAGGACGACCAUUCCCAAUAAAGGAGGACAGGUCUUCGGUCAAGGGUAUAGGACCAGCUCCACUCCCCUGCUAGAACCUCCAAACAAACUCUCAAGAUUCACUUUUUAUUUUAAAGGUGUGUACAAUAAUAACAAACGACCACACAGUCUAAUAAGAAAUACAAUUA
ensembl:misc_RNA 7SK 7SK RNA